UCCUUGGGGCUGCUCUCCAGCUGCUCCUCGCCCAGCCUGGGUUUGUGCUGGGGAUUGCCCCGACCCACGGGCAGGACCUGGCACUUGUUAACUUCAUGAGGUUCGCCCGGGAACCUUUUUCUUGGAAAAAAAAGUAAGCCUUGAGAAUGGGUUAUUGUUUGCAGUGCAAAGUGACCUAAACUCUCUUCUUGGUUUAUAGGACAAACUGGAUGGAUUUGUUCCUGCUCACUUUUUUGGCUGGUACCUGAAAGUAAGAAUGGGUCAGACUAAAGUCAGACCCAGGCUGAGAGUGAUCCUCUAAAGGUCCAAUAUGAUCGGGGUCAGCUUUUCCCACCCGGGCCCCUUUUCCCAACUAAAUUAACCCUCAGGGCUGCUCAUAACCACGCAGCAAAUUCCUGUUCUAAUGUCAGUCUCGUGACUGGGGGUUAUUUUUUGCAGCCCCUAGUCCUGGAGUCACGCUCUGACUUGCUCAUCCCAAAGCUCGCUCAUUUUAUCUGAUGUCGGGGUGCAGAGAGGAACAUCUUGGCCCUGUGACCGGAGGUGGACACAAGACACCCCUAAUUUUAUAAUUUUUAAACCCAACUCCUGUUUCAGGGGCAAGGGGGAGGAAGAAUCUGGAUCCUGUCUGCUCGUGGGCUCCUGGCCCAAGCAAGGACCCAGCCCCUGGCACCUGCAAGCCAGAGCGAAGGUCCCCGCUUACCUCUCAGGGUUGCGAGGAGGAGGAUGGACGGCACUCAGAGAGGAGAAGUAUUUUCCUGGGGAGCCCAGGACACAAGAUCAGGCUGGGAGCAAAUGCAAUACAGAGCAACGUGGAAGAGGCUCACCGUGCGACAGGAGAGGAAAAGAAAUACACCCAGGCCUAAACAAAUCCCCCCACCUGCCCCCCGACUUUUGGCAGGUUUAAAGCAACAUCCAUUCAGGCAACCCUGCAAGGUUUGCUUCUGCUCUCUGGCUAUUUUCUCAAAGGCAAGCAGUGAGAUCUAGCAAAUGCCAAGAUGACUCAGUGAGGAUCAGCUAGCAAGAAGAGGAGUGUGGGCGGCUUUUGAGUUUCCAGCUCCUGGGGAUAAAAGGCCAGUUGGGAAGAAAGGAAUGUCUCGGCCGGGGCGGUGCCCAGCCUGGCUCUGUUUCUGCCUUGCUGAGCGGUCUAGUUUGCGCUGCCUUUGAGGAAUAGAGUGUGGGUGACCCCCUCUCUGUGCUCUGCAGCUUAGAGAAUGAUUUCCAGUUUCUCUGAUGUGGUUUGGCCUGACUGCAGGGGCAAGUCCAGCUCUUCUGAGCUGGCAAGAGGGUUUCCUGCUGGGUCGGGAAUGGCUGCAGAGGGACAAGUGCUGCUGGUCAAGGUGCCUGGCCUUCUCUGAACUGCAAAAAGGGCACGGAUUUCUCCCAAGGGUCUCAGAGGGUGCUAACAACACCUCUUGUGCCCCACACAGACCAGAGCCGUGUCCAGACACCACGAGAAGCUGCCUCGUGCCCCCGCGAAAGCGAGUGAUCCCGGCACCACACCUGAGCUCUGACUGCUGGCCGUGCACGAGAAGGGGCCCGGGGGCCGCACGCCUUCACGGAGGACACCAGCUCCCACUGAGCCAUGGUGAGAGUAACUCCAGCAGCGACCUCUCACCUUUCCUGUUGGAUCUCACGAACGACAGGAUCACUGCCUCUUUCUCUCUUCCCUGGAAACCAUCAACUGAUCUAAUUUCUAGCUCU